rnacentral:rRNA from 1 species
CGAUUGAACGCUGGGCGGAAUGCUUUACACAUGCAAGUCGAACGGCAGCACGGGGCAACCUGGUGGCGAGUGGCGAACGGGUGAGUAAUACAUCGGAACGUCGCCCAAUCGGUGGGGGAUAACGUAGCGAAAGUUACGCUAAUACCGCAUACGAUCUACGGAUGAAAGCGGGGGAUCGCAAGACCUCGCGCGAAUGGAGCGGCCGAUGUCAGAUUAGGUAGUUGGUGGGGUAAAGGCUCACCAAGCCAACGAUCUGUAGCUGGUCUGAGAGGACGACCAGCCACACUGGAACUGAGACACGGUCCAGACUCCUACGGGAGGCAGCAGUGGGGAAUUUUGGACAAUGGGCGCAAGCCUGAUCCAGCCAUUCCGCGUGCAGGAUGAAGGCCUUCGGGUUGUAAACUGCUUUUGUACGGAACGAAACGGUCUGCCCUAAUACGGCGGGCUAAUGACGGUACCGUAAGAAUAAGCACCGGCUAACUACGUG